GACGAACGCUGGCGGCGUGCUUAACACAUGCAAGUCGAGCGGAGCGGCGAACGGGUGAGUAACGCGUGAGUAACUGCCCCCCUCUCUGGGAUAACAGUUGGAAACGGCUGCUAAUACCGGAUAGUGGGGGAUGACUCGCGUCCUAUCAGCUUGUUUGUGGGGUGGUGGCCUACCAAGGCGACGACGGGUAGCGGGACUGAGAGGGCGACCGGCCACAUUGGGCUGAGAUACGGGCCAAGUCACCACGGGGGGCAGCAGUGGAGAAUAGUGGACAAUGGGGGAAACCCUGAUGCAGGAACGCCGCGUGCUGGAUGACGGCCUUCGGGUUGUAAACCGCUUUCAGCCAUGACGCGGUAGUGGCAGAAGAAGCACCGGCUAACUUCGUGCCAGCAGCCGCGGUAAUUC
rnacentral:rRNA from 1 species